rnacentral:rRNA from 1 species
UACGUAGGGUGCAAGCGUUGUCCGGAAUUAUUGGGCGUAAAGAGUUCGUAGGCGGUUUGUCGCGUCGUUCGUGAAAACUUGGGGCUUAACUCCAAGCGUGCGGGCGAUACGGGCAGACUUGAGUACUACAGGGGAGACUGGAAUUCCUGGUGUAGCGGUGAAAUGCGCAGAUAUCAGGAGGAACACCGGUGGCGAAGGCGGGUCUCUGGGCCGUAACUGACGCUGAGGAGCGAAAGCGUGGGGAGCGAACAGG